GUGACUGAAUCCGAAGGGGUCGAGGAGCUAGUCUGUGAAUCUAGUGUUAGCGAGUUCGAGUCUCGUCAGUCACCCCA
rnacentral:tRNA from 1 species